rnacentral:rRNA from 1 species
UACAGAGGUCCCAAGCGUUGUUCGGAUUCACUGGGCGUAAAGGGUGCGUAGGUGGUGGGGUAAGUUUGAUGUGAAAGCUCCGAGCUUAACUCGGAAAUGGCAUUGAAUACUAUCCUGCUUGAGGUUUGGAGGGGGACUGGAAUUCUCGGUGUAGCAGUGAAUGCGUAGAUAUCGAGAGGAACACCAGUAGGCGAAGGCGAGUCCCUGGACAACACCUGACACUGAGGCACGAAAGCUAGGGGAGCAAACAGG